UACAGAGGUCCCGAGCGUUGUUCGGAUUCACUGGGCGUAAAGGGUGCGUAGGUGGUGGAGUAAGUUUGAUGUGAAAUCUCCGGGCUUAACCCGGAAACUGCAUUGAAUACUAUUCCGCUGGAGGUUUGGAGGGGGGACUGGAAUUCUCGGUGUAGCAGUGAAAUGCGUAGAUAUCGAGAGGAACACCAGUGGCGAAGGCGAGUCCCUGGACAACACCUGACACUGAGGCACGAAAGCUAGGGGAGCAAACAGG
rnacentral:rRNA from 1 species